rnacentral:rRNA from 1 species
UGUUAAAGUGUCGACGCUGGCGGCGUGCCUACACAUGCAAGUCGAGCGAUGAAGCUCCUUCGGGAGUGAAUUAGCGGCGGACGGGUGAGUAACACGUGGGUAACCUGCCUCAUAGAGGGGAAUAGCCUUCCGAAAGGGAGAUUAAUACCGCAUAACAUAGCACUACCGCAUGGUAGAGUUAUCAAAGGAGCAAUCCGCUAUGAGAUGGACCCGCGGCGCAUUAGCUAGUUGGUGAGGUAACGGCUCACCAAGGCGACGAUGCGUAGCCGACCUGAGAGGGUGAUCGGCCACAUUGGAACUGAGACACGGUCCAGACUCCUACGGGAGGCAGCAGUGGGGAAUAUUGCGCAAUGGGGGAAACCCUGACGCAGCAACGCCGCGUGAGUGAAGAAGGCCUUAGGGUUGUAAAGCUCUGUCAUAUGGGAAGAUAAUGACGGUACCAUAAGAGGAAGCCACGGCUAACUACGUGCAGCCCCGCCGCGGAUAA